rnacentral:lncRNA from 10 species
GCUUUUGAGAUUCCACAAUGCUUGGGAGAAAAUGUGGAUGUCUCCAGGGAGGCCAUACCUAAUGAGGAGCUCCCAACAAAUGGCAACUGAUGUUACCUACAACCGAAUACGUCAAGAAGGAAACACACUCGCUUCAGCCUGCACCAACCAAAAUGACUGCUCAAAGGCCAUUCAGCCCCUUUAUCACUGUGGCUCAACUUUGAUUUUCUUCCCAGUUCAUCCAUGAUUCAGACUUCUUCUGUUUCAGGAGCUUUGCCCAUGCGUUCUGCCACCUUCUGCCAGGAAUUACACCUGUCCCAUCCCGUCGUCUCCUGAAUGUCCAG